rnacentral:lncRNA from 1 species
CAUUAUGCAGGUGCAGGUAUGAAGCAAAAUGGUGGAAGUAAAUGCCAUUUUAACCCUUGCUUUUUGUGAGCCAUAUAUAGUUUGCCCACAUAUCAAUCUUAGUGAGCUCCUAAUUAAUGAUUACUAUCUACAUUUAUAGACAAUUAAUCUUUAUAUACUUGAACGAGUGUGCUAUCCAACAGAUAAAUGGGCCAGAAAUUAAUGAGGAGACAUAAGUAAGAAAUUUCCUUUCAAUCUUAGUGAGCUCCUAAUUAAUGAUUACUAUCUACAUUUAUAGACAAUUAAUCUUUAUAUACUUGAACGAGUGUGCUAUCAUGAAUUUUGGGACUAUUUUCAUGAUCAAUUAUUGCAGUUGAAACUUUAGAUUGAAAGGAAAUUUCUUACUUAUGUCUCCUCAUUAAUUUCUGGCCCAUUUAUCUGUUGGAUAGCAGUUGCAUUUAUGUAGUCUUAAUGGCACAUCAAUGUUGUUGUUCUAUUAUUGCAUGGGUACCAAAAUU